ACAACGCAUAAAAACGGGAGAGAACAGAGCAAAGGAAAAGUGAAAGAGAUUUUCAAAAAAGUUGUUUUUAAAAAGAGAGAUUUUCGAUACAAAAGAUUGGGCAAGCCAUCUUUAAAGGACUAUUAGAAACAGAAAUGUAAAUUCUCACUUAGGUUAAAAAUUAAAAAUCACAAAUUCUUAAACAUAGGAAAGAUCUACUUUUACAGCUAAAGCCCAAAAGUGGAAGUAACUGUAGAGUUCAGCUGAUGAUGUAAUGUAUAAUCACACCCACAAUAUUCACAACUAACAACAACAACUACCCAGUAUAGUCCCACAAAGUGAGGUCUAGGGAGGGUAAUAUGUAGACGAGCCUUACCCCUACCCGAAAGGGAAGAGAGGCUGUUUCCAAUCGACCCUCGGCUCAGUGAAGGAAAACUAACUACCCAGUAUAGUCCCACAAAGUGAGGUCUAGGGAGGGUAAUAUGUAGACGGGCCUUACCCCUACCCGAAAGGCCCAGAGAGGCUGUUUCCAAUCGACCCUCGGCUCAAUAUUCACAACUAACAACAGCAUAGAAAAUUAUGUGAAAGGCAAUUCACAGAAACCCAGAACUCCAUUUGUUAAGGUUUACAUUGGAUUGGAUUUUUGAGUACUAACCUUUUUCUAGAUAGCCGGGAAAUCCCCAAGGGCCCGGGCGCAUCUAAAAUUCGGUGAAUAAUGAGCCCGCCCCUCUACCCCUCUCUACUUAAAUACCAGGACAGUCUGCGGCAGGUUCGAACUCAUGGCGUGCGCCUAACUCACACAUCACGAGUUACACUGUUACCACUAGACCAAAACCAUGGGGGUGAUUAUACAGUACCUACU
rnacentral:lncRNA from 1 species